CGCUCUUGGACUCCUAGAGAUAGGGAUUUCCCUUCGGGGACAGGAGUGACAGGUGGUGCAUGGUUGUCGUCAGCUCGUGUCGUGAGAUGUUGGGUUAAGUCCCGCAACGAGCGCAACCCUUGACCUUAGUUGCCAGCAUUCAGUUGGGCACUCUAAGGUGACUGCCGGUGACAAACCGGAGGAAGGUGGGGAUGACGUCAAAUCAUCAUGCCCCUUAUGACCUGGGCUACACACGUGCUACAAUGGAUGGUACAAAGGGCUGCAAGACCGCGAGGUUUAGCCAAUCCCAUAAAACCAUUCUCAGUUCGGAUUGUAGGCUGCAACUCGCCUACAUGAAGCCGGAAUCGCUAGUAAUCGCGGAUCAGCAUGCCGCGGUGAAUACGUUCCCGGGCCUUGUACACACCGCCCGUCACACCACGAGAGUUUGUAACACCCGAAGUCGGUGAGGUAACCUUUUGGAGCCAGCCGCCGAAGGUGGGACAGAUGAUUGGGGUGAAGUCGUAAAGGGGUAAACCCGUA
rnacentral:rRNA from 1 species